rnacentral:tRNA from 1 species
GCGGGUAUAGCUCAAUGGGUAGAGCGCAACUAUGCCAUGGUUGAGGCCACGAGUUCGAAUCUCGUUACCCGCU